rnacentral:sRNA from 1 species
AGGAUACACCUGGGAUUGUGUUUGAGCUCAGGGAGAAUGGCACAGUGAGAUGCUGUGGGCUGAAACAUGAAAACCACAGUCAACAGGGAUCUCCUGAAGAUUUAAGGCGCUGGCACUGACCUGGUUUGGUUUAUAGAAGAAAUCUCCGAAAGGUCCUCGCCAGAAAGCUGUGUCUCCUACUCUCCAGGACUCAACAUACCGGGACAUCAGCCCCAUCUGGUAGCACUGGAAGCAAACACAGGGAGACGUCAGUAGGACAGGUGUAAAGCAGGCCCUCUGGCUCACCAAGACCAAGUUAAUAGAAGGCCUUCCCGAGAAAGUGCUUAGCCUUGUUGAUGAUCCAAGUAACCACAUAGAGAACCAAGACGAGCACGUUCUGAAUGUGAUCUCUCACGCCCGUCUCUGGCAGACCACUGAGGAAAUCCCCAAGAGAGAGACCUACUGCCCGGUCAUCGUGGACAACCUAAUAAGGCUGUGUAAAUCUCAGAUUCUUAAGCAUCCUUCUCUGGCCAGGAGGAUCUGUGUCCAAAACUCCACGUUUUCUGCUACCUGGAACCGAGAGUCUCUUCUCCUUCAAGUCCGUGGUUCUGGUGGAGCCCGACUGAGCACUAAGGAUCCUCUGCCCACCAUCGCCUCCAGAGAGGAGGUUGAAGCUACUAAGAAUCAUGUUCUAGAGACCUUCUACCCCAUAUCACCCAUCAUCGAUCUUCAUGAAUGCAAUAUUUAUGAUGUGAAAAAUGACACAGG